UACGGAGGGUGCGAGCGUUGUUCGGAAUCACUGGGCGUAAAGGGCGUGUAGGCGGUCUGUUAAGUCUGAUGUGAAAGCCCGGGGCUCACCCCCGGAAGUGCAUUGGAUACUGGCGGACUCGAGUCUCGGAGAGGAGGGUGGAAUUCCUGGUGUAGCGGUGAAAUGCGUAGAUAUCAGGAGGAACACCGGUGGCGAAGGCGGCCCUCUGGACGAUGACUGACGCUGAGACGCGAAAGCGUGGGGAGCAAACAGG
rnacentral:rRNA from 1 species